UUAGAUAAGAGUUAGUUCAACUCUUCAGAGAGUAAAGGUGAAGAGUGGCCCCAAUAUAUUGUAGGGGACUAAUAGAAUGCUACAUAUAUAUUGUGGAUUAGUAGAAGAAAGCUUUCAUCCCAGGGCCUCUUCCUUUCUUGACUUUACAUGCAGGAAGCUCCAGGUAGAGGGAAGUUCAGAGAAAACAACCAUAAUCAUAAUAACAAUUUUUUUUAAUCCAGAUCAUAGAAUUUGAUCCGAAACGUUGACAACAAAAAACAUACAUAAUCAAAUCCAAAAACAAAAUCUUGAUAACGAUUCUCUCAAGACACCAUUAUGCCUGAAGAGCGGGGUCAAGUUACAGAAAACAAUGGUGAUGGGGUCCAAGGAGGAGAAGUAAUUGUGGGCAGCUUUCUGAACUUUGGGAACAUCAGAAAUGGGCAUGUGGUGGACAAUCAUGGUGGAAAAAAGGGCAAAACAAAGGAAGACAAACUGUUUUCUGUUUCGGCUGAGAUAAGAGCAGUGGAAUGCUUCAAAUUGGAGAGAAAACUGAAGGAAAUUUUAAUGGAGAAUGAAGAAACUCUGGUGGAUAUUCAGGAGUUUCUUUACUAUUAUUCUCAACUCAACUCUCCUCUAUUCAUCGACAUUGUUGACAGGUUUUUUGCAGAACUUUUUGUUUAGUCUUGUAUUGAUAGAUUCGAUACAUCAUAUCUGAUCUUUUUCCGUGUAAUCCAAAUAAAUCAACGUGAGUUGUCAGAGCAAGUGGUAGGCUAGACUAGACUUUCAUCGUUGUAUUGUGGAUUUCUACUGUUAAUUGAUUUUACAUGGGUCGCUGUCAACAAUGAGAUUUGGUUUGAAUUAAUGGAGUGUGAAAAUGUACAAUGUAACGGUAGUGCUCAUAUUAGCUGUAUUCCAUGAGAAAUAUGAUAUGUUGUGGAAUUGGAAUAAAAAGUAGGGUUUGGUAAUCUUUCCUUU